UACGGGGGGGGGCAAGCGUUGUUCGGAAUUACUGGGCGUAAAGGGCUCGUAGGCGCCAACUAAGUCAGACGUGAAAUCCCUCGGCUUAACUGGGGAACUGCGUCUGAUACUGGCGAGCUUGAGUGCAGGAGAGGAACGCGGAAUUCCAGGUGUAGCGGUGAAAUGCGUAGAUAUCUGGAGGAACACCGGUGGCGAAGGCGGCAUCCUGGACCAACAUUGACGCUGAGGAGCGAAAGCCAGGGGAGCAAACGGG
rnacentral:rRNA from 1 species